GAUUAACCUAUAACUAGUAGCCAGCAUCUCAGAUUUCAGAUGUCUUCAUUAUAAUUUAAAAUUUUUCAUUAUACAAAUUAGUCUAGAAAAUGUUACUUGAAGACUUACAAUAUUGUCCUUUCCCCAUCACACACAUAUCAACUUUUCAUUAUUUCUUUUUCUAAUUUCAUUUCCAUAGUAAAAUAGAAUAGUAUAAAAGAAAUUUCUGCCUGCAUGGUUAUAUUCUUACCUGAAGGUAAUCUAUUAACUAUUAUCUGGUGCAAUGCUAAAUCACUAUGAAAAAACUGUGGAAUUUUAGAUGAAGCUUAUAGGAAAAUGUAAUGAAUACAUAAGGACUCAAACCGGUAAAAUCAAUUGCUAAGUCUUACUGUACUAAUGGCCAUCUGUGGUGUGACUUUAGAGAAGCUUCUGGAAUUGGAAAGUAAUUUCAGAGAGGAAGAGAGGACUAAGAAAAUGGGUCUAUUGUGUGCCUUAGCAUAAAGAGCUUCUCUGGUCUUUUCAGAAAAAAAAAAGUGCACAUUUUUAAAACAUUUCCUCUUAUGUAGAGCAAGGGAACAUCCUAAAAGAGUUUGUAAUUCUUAAGAAGAGAAGAAGCACAUCAAGUUCUUCUAAAAAUGUUUUACAUGUUCUCUACAAUAGCAGAUGGAAAAUGAGUGAGAGUCUGAAAGCUUUGAACCCCAAAGAGAACAAACCAGAAAAAAAGAAGCCAAGCAGAAUCCUAAAGAAAUCAGAUUUCACAGUAAAAGAAAUUAAAAGUCACUUGUAUAAGUUGUCUAUGGCUGCUGUAACAAAUUGAUACUUGAUGGCUUAAAACAGCACAAACCUAUUUUCUUAUAGGUCUGCAGUUCAGAAAUCCAAAAUGGGUCUCACUGACCUAAAGCCAAGGUGUCACCCUAGCUGCCUCUCUGGAGGUUCUAUAGAUAAACAUGUUUUCUUUCCUUUUCCAGUUUCUUGCAGCCACUGACAUUCCUUCAUUCACAGCUGCCCUCUACCUUCAAAGUCAGCAAGGGCCAGUCAAGUCCUUCCCACGCUGAAUUAUUCUGCAACCUCUCCCUUCCUCUUCUAAAUGUAUUUGAAGAACCUGUAUUAGUUUCCUACAGCUACUGAUCAAAGUGCCACAAACUAAGGGCCAAAAGCAGCAGGAACUCAUUGUCUGGCAGUUCUGGUGUUCAGAAGUCAAGGUGUUGGUAGAGCUGGUAUUCUCUCCUGGAUCCCAGCAAAGGAUCUGUUCCAGGCCUACCUCCUUGGCUUGUAGAUGACUAUCUUCUCCCUGCGUCUUCACAUCAUUUUUCCUUUGUAUUUGUGGCCAAUUUCCUCUUUUUAUAAUGACACCACUCAUAUUCAAUUAGGAUUUACUCUAAUGAUCUCAUGUAAAUUUAAUUACUUUAAAUACCUUAUUUCAAAAUUAAGUCACAUUCCAAGAUACAGUGUACCUACUCUGACAAUCCAGGAUAAUCUCAUUUUAAGGUCAGUUAGCAACCUUAACUUCAUGUGCUUGAUUCACCCUUUUCCUUAUGAAAUAAUCACAGUUUCUGGGUAGAGGAAGUGAACCUCUUUAAGGAGGUCAUUAUGUAAUCUGUCACACUUUGUCCUUUUUUGUUUCUUCUUUUUAUUUAAUUUCAAGCCAUAAGAGAUCUCAUGUAUGUGCUGUAUGUUGAAGCUUCAGAUAUUUUAGAGAAUUGAUGAGGUGAGAUUAAUUUUUCAGUGAAGGGUGAAACACUGGUUGUAUUGGGGUUAAAAUAUAUUUUUAUAGAUUACAAAGAUAGAUGUAAUAUAAAUUUGUACAUAUAAAAUUUUAGAUGAUUAAAUACCUAAAGUAUGGACAUAAAACAAAAAUCCCUAAAAUACUUUUGUAUUUAUAUUAUGUCUAAAAAUCAAUAAUAUUGGCAGAAUUUUGGGGUGUUGAUAUUAGAUGGACAUAACAAAUUAGGAACCCACUCCAUCAAACUACACUAUUUAAUAAACCUUCUUUUCUAAAGUCUUAUUCCUGUGUGGAGGAAGACAGGCAUUUUCUCAAACAUCAAAAGAGUGACAAAAUCUAUAAGCAAGAUGCACGGUUCAUACAGAUCCAUCCUGAGAAAAAAUAAAAUAUAAACUAGUUUUUUUUAGAAAACAAGUUCCAAAUAAGCUGGAGGUUCUGUAAAUUAUGUAUUUUUAUCCAUUAGUCACAUUAAAAAGUUGUGCCUCACCUUUAAUAAUUUAAGAAUAAUUUCUAAUAAUAACUUUACUGGAAGUAAGUCAUAAAAUGCAAAUCAUACCAGGCAUGGUGGUAUAUGCCUGUAAUUCCAACACUUAGGAGUCAGAAGCAGAAGAAUAAUGGAGCUAUAUAGCAAGACCCUGUCCCACAAAAACACAUCAAAACAAAAAUACUAAUUGUUUCUAGAACCUGGAAGUGUUCUAUAAAAACUGUGGUAUGGGGAUUGGAUUCAAAAGAAAGAGCCAGAAGAAAAAAAGAAGUGACACCACUUACUCUGUACGGUCAUAACAUCAGAUAGGAAAGUUGUGGAUUUCAAAUAAUGCUACAAGCAGGGAGGAAGGAUUUUCCAGUGAUGAAACUCAGGCUCAGAAAGCUGUGUGAUUUAUCCAAGGUCAAACCACUUUUAAGGGCAGAAAUGGAAAUGCUCCACUGUAUACUCUUUAAUUGUAAGAUAUAUGUUAAUGAAAGUAUAUAAUUCUAAUCAUAGCAUAUAUUGAAAUUAAGUGUCUUUUUUUUUUACAAAUAUCCAACUUGAAUGUUAAUGGCCACAUACUGAGCCUCAUAGUAUCAGACAAUGUAGUUUUUAAAAGAGAUAAAUAUCCCCUGUAUAAAUUUUCAUUUCCUUUUAAUUGUAAAACUUCCUAAAAAUUCCUAAAAUUUCUACUCUCACUGGUACUUUUUCUGUUAUUUUGCUCAUUUGAUUUUCUCAGCAAGUCGUCUGCACUAAGGAAAUGGACUAACGAAAGUCUAGAGUAUGGUGUUCACAGUGAGGCUGCUUGCUACUUGGAAAAAUAGCAACACAGACAAAGAUCCAGUGCAGAGGAGGCUUCCAGGUCAGUGUGCCAGAGCUCCCAACACAAAGGAGGCUUCCGGGUCAGCAUGCCACGGCUUCCAGCCCAGAUGAGGCUUCAGGAUCAGUAUGCCACAGCUUCCAGCCCAGAGGAGGCUUCCAGGUAGGCGUGCCACAGCUCCCAACACAGAGGAGGUGAGCCAUGCAGGUGCUAGCAGCACACACACACACACACACACACACACACACACACUCUGCUGGUAGAAAUGAGAAGACACAUAAAUAAGCCUCAGAACCAGACUUCCAGAUCACCUAGAGCAACCCAAAGGGAAACAAAUGGAACAUUCUGAUACUCAACCACCUGGACUCCCUGAAUGAGCAACAAAAGAGGAUCUGGUAAAAAUGGAAUAAGAAAUAAUUUCUGAGGUAACAGCAGAGAUUGUGCCCAUAGUGCAAGACAUGAUUAAUAAAUCUAGAGAGAUAAAAAAAAUAGAGGAGCUGAAGAACAUGAUAGAAUGCCAACAUAGGAAACAAAUGGAAUCAAUAAAACAGAUGCAAACAGAUUUUCAUGAGAUUAAAAACUCCAAUGAAAGUCUAUGCUGCAGAAUGAGCCAAUGGGAAGACAGAAUUUCAGAUAUAGAAGAUAAGAUUGCAAUUAGUGACCAGGAAAAGAAAAAUUUCUUUAAAAUUGUAAGGGAUCACGAGAAAUCAAUCCAGCAGCUGCUAGAUGAUGCAAAGAAGAAUAACAUAAGACUGAUUGGAGUCAAUGGAGAAACAGGAGAGAGUGCAGAUGACAUAAAAAAACUAUUCACAGAAGUGAUGGCAGAAAACUUCCCAAGCAGGGGAAAAGAACUUGACAUACAGAUAAGUGAGGCAUAUAGGACUCCAAAUAGCCUUGAUCAAAAAUUCUUACACAUGGGCAUAUAAUUGUUAAGAUUCCAGAAGCCCAACAGAAGAACAAAGUUCUAUAAGCAGUUAGAGAAAAGAAACAAAUCACAUACAAAGGAAAGCUCAUCAGAAUCACAGCAGAUUUCUCAAUGCAAACCCUCAAGACAAGAAGAGGUUGGAGUGAUGUAUUUCAAGCCCUAAAGUAAGACAGCCUCCAACCCAGAUUGAUGUACCCUGC
ensembl:lncRNA